UGAAUAACUAAACAUGUAAAACAAUGUAAAACACUUUACUCUGUUGAGGAUUUCUGUUCCUCCAACAUGACAGGAGCUGAACUUUGACUCAAGUGUGUUGAUUGUACCUUUAUUGGACUUUUACCGCAUUCUGUUCACUCUAAACUCUAUUAGAGACCUAAAUGUCCCUCACAGCCCUUUGAAUCUACACUUUCCUCAUUUCUCAUGAGUGAAGUAAAAAGUCACUCAUCCUGUGACAUUUACACCUUUACUGACUCCAGGUGUUUAUAGUUCUUUGGUGCCGGACAGAAACCUGUCUGGGUUCAGGUGUCGGUGCUCCAGCUGCACAAGGACACACUGACCAACUACAGUCCGAAUCCCACUGUUGUUAUAGUACCACAGAACACGGUACUUACCCUGAAUUAUAUUUUCCUGAAUCGGUGCUUGUGAUUGGUCCAGAGUGUUAGUGUGAUUUGAAGUAAAUACAGUAUUUGGUUUCAUACAUCAUACAUCCCUGUUCAAGAACGUCUGUAUGAUGAAAGCUGAUGUACAAAGUAAAAUACCCCUUGUGGGAGAAAGAUUAAAGUCAAAGUGAACUUUAUUUUCAUUCCCACAAUAUGGGUAUUGCCACAGCAGGGUUACACACCACCUACACCUGUCACACAUCUCUUGUCGUCUUUGCCAAAGGGUUUGAAUCUCCGCACAACCGAAGUCCACAUCCGCUGUAGAAAAGGUCACAAUAAGUGUAAAGCACAGCAGAACACCACGGGGAGGGAAGAGCAGAGUCUGAAGGACAACAACUAAAGACUGAAGAUGGAGCCACUGCUUAAGUCCAUUGAUCUUAGUGGACAUUCGCUUUCACACAGCAGGCAGUUUAGGGCGGAAAACACGGUAAAAAGGUGAACUGGUCACGUUUCACUGAUUGUGAGUUUAGCUCAGACUGAACAGUUCAAAUCCAGUGGAAUAUGAGUCCGACGUUUCACCUCCACUGUGACACACAAUCCAACUCGUCACCUCCUCACUGAACACUUCACCUUCUUACCGUAGUAAACAUUGUGUACAACUUUGAUUUGUAACAUUUACAGGGCAGAAUCAUUUCUUUGGCAUUAAUAAUAAUCAUACUUAUGAUUUUCAUUGUCAUAAUUACACAAGGACUUGUGUGUUUAAAGUGACUUGUCUUCAGGAGCAGUUUGUACUGUGCUCUACUGUACUGUGCUGUUGCAAGAAGAACAUCCUGGGUUCGAAUCCCCUCUCCUGCUGUAUUAUACUGAAUCAAAGUAUUUACCCUGAAUUACUGCAGUAAAAAUACUGUGCUGUAUAAAUGGACAUGAUUUAUUCCAGGAACACUUUGUAACAUUCCUUUUCUUCAAUUAAUGGGAAAAGGUCAUCUGAUGGACCACUUUUAUGGACCAGAUUGUCUCUUUGGAGGAAGUUGAGUGUAAAAAUCUUUGAAAGACAAGUUUAUAUUGUUGUUAUUUAGCUUAAAAGCACAUUAAGUGCUGCUUGUUUUUCCACACUGAAUGUUCACCUUGUGUGUCGC
rnacentral:lncRNA from 1 species